CACUGGGUAGCUAAAAGUUAGCAUAGGUCUCUUAAACCUUUAAAUAAUAGACUAACGCCUAUUUCUAGUG
rnacentral:tRNA from 1 species